GCUAAACGCGAAGAACCUUACCCAGACUUGACAUGCACUAGACCGCUUCAGAAAUGAAGCUUCCCUUCGGGGCUGGUGCACAGGUGCUGCAUGGCUGUCGUCAGCUCGUGCCGUGAGGUGUUGGGUUAAGUCCCGCAACGAGCGCAACCCUUAUCAUUAGUUGCCAACACGUAAUGGUGGGAACUCUAAUGAGACUGCCUGGGUUAACCAGGAGGAAGGUGAGGAUGACGUCAAGUCCGCAUGGCCCUUAUGUCUGGGGCUACACACGUGCUACAAUGGUCGGUACAAAAGGCAGCGAAACCGUGAGGUGAAGCAAAUCCCGAAAGCCGGCCCAGUUCAGAUUGUAGUCUGCAACUCGACUACAUGAAGAUGGAAUUGCUAGUAAUGGCGAGUCAGCAACAUCGCCGU
rnacentral:rRNA from 1 species